rnacentral:lncRNA from 1 species
CUAAUAUUAGCAUUAGCAAUAUAUUUCCUUCUUAAUCCACCAUUUGAUAAAUAUAUGUAGUUUUUGAGUGCUGAAGGAUACGGAGAUAAAUUCUAAAAUUAUUAAUUGAGUUAGAAGAAGUUCUUAUUAAGCGAUUGGGUACUUAUUCAUAUGAAAACUACAUAGUCUCCUCAGUCUGUUUUUGUUGAUAUUCUUUAUAGUAAACUACAUUUUCAUUAAAUGUCAAUUUUGCAAUCUUGUAAAUCAUAAUUUACUUCUGCAAAAACGCCGCUAAUAAAUCGUAAGUUAUCUACAUAUAUUAGCUGGUUAAUUGCCCUUAAUGAGAUUGAAUAGAGAGGGCAUAAAGUCACUUUUCUUGGAAUAAAGACAUUUAAUUAAAUGAGGCUUGAAGUGACAAAAAUUAAAUCAAUUUCUUAUAUGUAAUGAAAGUAUAGGGAAAGAGGUGCUGUCGAGAAAUAUAAAAAAUGCGUACACAUUCUUCAUUUUGUUCAGUUGAUGAAAUAAAAUUGAUAAGCCAGAAGCUAAGAAAUAUAGAGACAAUAAAAAAAUAUUUAAUAAUUUGUGGCUCGGCAUCAUUUAUCCUCUAAUAAGAUCAAUAAAAAAUUUUGAAGUCA